GGGGAAGAAAGGGGUGAGGCGGUGGAAGAGAAAAGGAAAGAAAAAAAAUAUUAUCAAGCUUUUAUCCUUAUCUUUAUAUAAGUAUAAAUACAUCCAUAUCCAUUGCCAUAGAGAUAUUUCCUUCAUUUUACAAAACACUUAUACACUUAAAAAGAGAGCAAAAACCGAAAUUUAGAAAAGAAAGAAGAAGGAAGAAAGUUUAGCACUUUCAAUUCAUUUCAAACAAAGAUCAUCAAGUUUUAUGGUAAGAUACUUUCAUGCUUAAGAGUUAUGAUUUUCAUGGUAAUAUUUAUGAAAAACCACAAUAUGAUUAUGGUGGACAAGUCCACAAAGUUAGAUAUCUAUUUAUGCCUUAGGACAAGUCCGAAGGGCACCGGCAAGCCGGAAUAUGCAAGUAUGGGUUUGAUUGUAUUCUUUUGUGUGGUAUUAUCAUGAUAAAAAUCCAAGCAUGGUAUCUUACUGAGUAUUUCUUAUACUCAUAGUAUGUUAUGCUAAAUUUUCAGAUCCAUGAUCAUUUGAAUUGAUGGAAGUUAGUUGGCUUACGCGAUGAUGGAUUAAGGACAACGAAGUUUUGUACCGAAAGUUUUCUUUUGUGUGUUUUGUUCGAUGACAGUUUUUCCAUCUACUUUUCUUAUGGUAUUAUGUAAAAAUAUGAACAUGGCAUGAUUUAUU
rnacentral:lncRNA from 1 species